rnacentral:rRNA from 1 species
ACCAGACUCCUACGGGAGGCAGCAGUGGGGAAUAUUGCACAAUGGGGGAAACCCUGAUGCAGCAACGCCGCGUGAGUGAAGAAGUAUUUCGGUAUGUAAAGCUCUCUCAGCAGGGAAGAAGAUGACGGUACCUGAUUAAGAAGCCCCGGCUAACUACGUGCCAGCAGCCGCGGUAAUACGUAGGGGGCAAGCGUUAUCCGGAUUUACUGGGUGUAAAGGGAGCGCAGACGGCAGUGCAAGUCUGGAGUGAAAGCCCGGGGCCCAACCCCGGAACUGCUCUGGAAACUGCGGCGCUGGAGUACGGGAGGGGCAGGCGGAAUUCCUGGUGUAGCGGUGAAAUGCGUAGAUAUCAGGAGGAACACCGGUGGCGAAGGCGGCCUGCUGGACUGCAACUGACGUUGAGGCCCGAAAGCGUGGGGAGCAAACAGGAUUAGAUACCCCCGUAGA